GGGAGGCUUUGGACCAAGUCGGUACAUGCAUGCGGGGUGGGGCUGGAAAGAUAGAUUGGCCUAUGGGAACUUAGAAGAAGAAAGCGGGGGAGAAAGAUGUUAGUGGAGGGAAGGUGGGGAAACACAUUGGAGAAACAGUACCGAAAGUGGGUUUCUUGAGGCAGGAAGAGCUGUUGAAAUAGAAGAACUCCUCUGUUGCAUUUAGAGCAAAGGGACAUUUGUGAGCUGUGUGGGAAGCCCAUGUGUGUUCAUCCCCUAUUGUCAUGCUUCCAACUUUCAUUUCUUUUUUUUUUCCUCUCCAAUACAUGUGAAAUGAUUGUGGCUUAGAAUGAUACUGUUUUGGUAACCUUAGGGCUAUACUUAAUGUCUGAGUUUAGGGCUUAACCAAACAUAGCUUACCUGGAAACUGUUCUUUAUUUAUCAGCAUUCAGAAUAGAAGCUGAGUCACAGCAGUGACACUGACACAUCUGGUUUCUGUCUCAUACUUCCUUAUUUCCUGGCUGUUGGUGAUCUUCACUUUUGCUUGUUGGGAACUUGAAAUACACCGUCUCAAUAACCAUUCACCCUGCUUACGAAUGAUGCCCUCAGACAGGGCCUUCACUGCUUCUCCUCCCAGACAGCAAUGGCUUUGUUUUAAUGACUGUUUUUCAACAUUGAACUAUAUAGCAUUUACUCAAUUAACUGUCAGCAAAAUAAUGUCACCUGCUUAAUUUCAAACACUGGCAAGUAACUUGGAUUUUCAUCUGUCUGUAAACUGGAUUUCAUUUGUGUUUAAAAGGAAGCCAGGGAAAGAACCCAUAUGUUUUUUGGGAAAGGCCUUUAUUCCUUAUUUUUCUAGCUUAGUAAUCAAUUAUAAUCUAUUCACUCCAUCUCCAUGUCCCAUACCCUGUUCACAGGUGAGGGUGGGGAGUACCACCAUCUUAGAGGUGAAGCUGGAAAAACGUGGUGAGAUGGAUUCAUACUGUACAAGAUGUGAGGAAUAUCCUUUUUAUCACAAGAAAGACUAUGAGAAUCCACCAAUGGAGGAGUGGCUAUUCACAAAGUGAUUUCGGUGGACACCUGACAAAGGGAAGUCUCUAAAGAAAAGAUGUUUACUUAUGAAAGUUCCAGAGAUUGAAAAACUUAAUGCUGAGGGCCCAUACCUGUUGAGAACCUUCUGAUUAAUAGACAACCUCUAUUGAAUUCCAAAAUGAUACAGGGUAUUACAUAGCAAGACAGAGUAAUCAACUAGAGAGAUCACUUUGACAAUAAAGCCACUUCUGCAAUAAUCCGUUAAUCUGCU
rnacentral:lncRNA from 1 species